AAUAGAUCCCCGGUAGUCCACGCCGUAAACGAUGUCGACUUGGAGGUUGUGCCCUUGAGGCGUGGCUUCCGGAGCUAACGCGUUAAGUCGACCGCCUGGGGAGUACGGCCGCAAGGUUAAACUCAAAUGAAUUGACGGGGGCCCGCACAAGCGGUGGAGCAUGUGGUUUAAUUCGAUGCAACGCGAAGAACCUUACCUACUCUUGACAUCCAGAGAACUUAGCAGAGAUGCUUUGGUGCCUUCGGGAACUCUGAGACAGGUGCUGCAUGGCUGUCGUCAGCUCGUGUUGUGAAAUGUUGGGUUAAGUCCCGCAACGAGCGCAACCCUUAUCCUUUGUUGCCAGCGGUUAGGCCGGGAACUCAAAGGAGACUGCCAGUGAUAAACUGGAGGAAGGUGGGGAUGACGUCACGUCAUCAUGGCCCUUACGAGUAGGGCUACACACGUGCUACAAUGGCAUAUACAAAGAGAAGCGACCUCGCGAGAGCAAGCGGACCUCAUAAAGUAUGUCGUAGUCCGGA
rnacentral:rRNA from 1 species